rnacentral:rRNA from 1 species
UAGGGAAUCUUCGGCAAUGGACGAACGUCUGACCGAGCAACGCCGCGUGAGUGAAGAAGGUUUUCGGAUCGUAAAACUCUGUUGUUAGAGAAGAACAAGGACGUUAGUAACUGAACGUCCCCUGACGGUAUCUAACCAGAAAGCCACGGCUAACUACGUGCCAGCAGCCGCGGUAAUACGUAGGUGGCAAGCGUUGUCCGGAUUUAUUGGGCGUAAAGCGAGCGCAGGCGGUUUCUUAAGUCUGAUGUGAAAGCCCCCGGCUCAACCGGGGAGGGUCAUUGGAAACUGGGAGACUUGAGUGCAGAAGAGGAGAGUGGAAUUCCAUGUGUAGCGGUGAAAUGCGUAGAUAUAUGGAGGAACACCAGUGGCGAAGGCGGCCCCCUGGACGAAGACUGACGCUCAGGUGCGAAAGCGUGGGGAGCAAACAGG